AACGACAGGGUAUUCUCCCCAUUACCUGCUGUUUGGGGUCCACCCACAUCUACCCGUUGAUGCAUUGUUGGGCCGGGAGGAAGUGAAGGAUGACAAACUGGACUGGUUAGCAGUGCACCAGGAGCGUCUCCAGGAUGCACAUGCCAGAGCCAGAGAAUUUGCCGAACGGAAGGCUGCAGAGAGAGUGGUUCAGCAGCAAGGAAAGGUGUUCUGUCCACCUGUUGACAUCGGACAGUUUGUGUAUCUCCGUUACCGACCACCAGGAAGGAAUAAAAUUCAAGAUGCCUGGGCAGCCCCUGUGUACAAAGUGGUUGAUAUCCAAGGGACAACAUACACAGUAGUGCCACUGGAAGGAGGGCCGGUGAAAAGAGUCCACAGAUCUAACUUGAGGCCAUGCGUGGGGUCUAUACCUGCACCCAACCCAAGGCUACGUGACCAGGAAGUCAGUUCUGCAGAUGAGCACCAAGUGUCUGAUACGGAGCUUGAGCAUCCAGAGUUUGCCUUGAUGGAGGAGGUCCAGUACCCAAUGGAGCUGCCAGUGGCUCAGGGACCUGGGAACUUGGUUCCGACGGUCAACGAGCCUGGAAACCAAUUGGAGAAUGGAACUGAAAAUAUGGGUGAGGAUCUGCUAGGGCAAGAGAGCAGCGACAACCCUGAUGACCUCGAGGUGGAGCCAGCAGCUUACCUUCCACCUGGGCCAGGAAGCAUUGGAUUCUCCAGUGAAGAACCGGUGGCAAAACCUGUUCCAGCUCCUAGGAAAGGAAAGAAAGAGAAAGCGGAGGCCGGUCCACCCACACCUGCUAUACGCAGGAGUAGGAGAGAAACUGCAGGGGUCCACACAAACCCAUUUAAUCUACCUAGGUCAGCAUGCAAUGCAGUAUCCUUCAGUCCAGAUGUACUCUCCCAGGUGUUAGCCGGUAUGGUUCUCUACACCACCAAACUCAGGGGAAUGGUGGAUGAGCAGGGGGUCACCGAGGACGUUGACUCGUAGCAGGGGAGAAUGUAGCCAAGUGAACUAAUACUACACAUGGAAAGGGUUUAAAAAGAGGGAAUUGUGUUUUUGACUGGUUGCCUGUCUACCGGAGGUCUGUUGUAGGGUUGUCAUGGUGAUGACUAGACCUCGCGUUUUGGGGGUAUACUGUCCCUUUAAGAGCCGCCGUAAGCCAGAGCACGCAUGCACUCAAGUUUGUGUCACACUGAGCGCUGUGAGCGGGAGCACUGGAGAGUUAGAGACUGCAAAAGAUUCUGUGGCUAGCUACACACGAGUUCUUAACGCGCGACGGGUGCAUGUUUAAUGGUCACGUGCUGUGAAAGGGACUGAAGAGCGGGUUGGCAGGGGAGAUCACUUGCUGUGUGAUUCCUGCGUGUGUACUUGUCCUAGCACAGUAGCUGUGUGGAGAAACCGAAGUCACUACUGUUGUCUAUACUGUUUGGAUUUAACAUGUACAUAUGAUAGUUACUGUUGUCUCAGACCCUGAAAGGCAGUUUAGGCUGAGCCAGUGGAAUAGUUAAAUUUUGCCGUUUCACUCAAAACUACAGAAUUAAAACUGUGCUCCUCCGAGUACAGUCGGAGAAUAAAAAAGCCCACAAAAGAGUAUUUCCUGUGUCCUGUCUCAUUCCCCAUGACCGGGCCACAUAUAUGCAGAUACACAGCGAUCAUUUACAUUCAAAGGAGAGCCCUCGAUUUGUUUUUAUUUAACCUUAAAUCUUGUUCCAGUGAACCCUCCAGUCUCAAGUCCUCAAAACGCUGGAGUCGAGCCCAGAGAAGAGGAACUAACUGCCUGACUGAGUAAAUGCCUCC
ensembl:lncRNA